GACAGAGGGUGCAAACGUUGUUCGGAAUUACUGGGCAUAAAGCGCACGUAGGUGGUCCACUAAGUCGAGUGUGAAAUACCCCGGCUCAACCGGGGAAUUGCGCUCGAUACUGGCGGGCUAGAGGUCGGUAGGGGUGAGCGGAACUCCAGGUGGAGCGGUGAAAUGCGUAGAUAUCCGGAGGAACACCGGUGGCGAAGGCGGCUUCCUGGACCGACACUGACGCUGAGGCGCGAAAGCUAGGGGAGCAAACGGG
rnacentral:rRNA from 1 species